rnacentral:lncRNA from 1 species
GAAAAAAGAAAACAUUUUUAAAUCUUGAAUUUUCUUUUCAAUUUUUGAAACAAAAACUUCUGAAAAAGAAUAGAAAUAUUUUUGGAUUUUAAGAGGAAAUUAAAAGAAAAUAUUUUUGGAUAUUGUUUCAAAGAAGAAAGUAAAGGAAAAUAUUUUUGAAUUUGAAAAUUGGGGCCGAAACCGAUGAGGUUUGCCUACGUAUCUCACAUUCGAUGAAAAUUAGACCCGCGUAGUUCGGUCAAAUAAAUAAGAAAACAUUUUGAAAAUUAUGAUUUUACACAUUAGAACCCUUCAAAACUUUUUUAUAUAUAUAAAAAUAAUGGGAACUUUAUGAAAACGUUGAGGAAAUUUUCUCUUUCUCUCUCCUCUGUUCAAUCAAUCUAUCCUAAAGCCAGUCAACAUUGAGUAAAGCCUACCAAGUAAUGUUAUAUAUAGCACAUAAAAAUGAACAUACUAGUCUGAAAAAUUGGUACAUGUCCUAGACGGGCCCGACCCCUGUGCCAAGUCCCGCUAAGUCCAAUGCAUAUGAUGCAAAUAAAUCGUAGCCUACUAGGGAUAUUCAUUGCUUGUGGCUUAUUUUUCUAAGUUUUCAAAUCCUAAAGGAGAUGGUAUCUAGACCUGACUUACCCGGGCGGAAAACUCGAGCCGAGGAGCGUCAAGCGUCACCAGUAGUAGAACAACACUGGCUAGCUAACGACUCUCCCACGUAAGAAUGUGUGACUAAAUCCUUCACCAGAAGCUGGUAGGCUAACUGCUUUAUCUCAAGACAAAAAUUUUGUGAUGCUGGUAGGCAAACACAACAUAACUAACUAUCAGAAAACUCAGAGGGGUGCGAGAGAGGAUACAAUUUAUAUGUACAGUUCAAUAAUAUCAAAACGGUAAAAAAUGGACAAGUAACACAUUAGGCCCAAAUAAAUCACAAUAUAUACAAAAAUUAAUAAAGCCAAAUAAAGUCAAUGUACAAGCUCGCAUUCUUGAGAAUCCCCAACAGAGUCGCCAGAGCUGUCACACCUCCUUUUUACCCCUACAAAAGAUAUGUGUUAUGGAUUGUGGGUUAAAGAGUUUUUACAAUUAAAGUGACAAUUUUAAAAUAGGAAUUAUUUUGUUAUUCAGAGUCGCCACUUGGAAUUGAUUUUUGGUGUUCCAAGUCACCUUUUAUUUGAAUCCCUAGUCAAAGGAAGAUUUGACUCUAUUAUUAUUGGUCUGCGAAAAUAAAGUCCGGGUAAGGAAUUGCGGNNNNNNNNNNNNNNNNNNNNNNNNAUUGUCAUAACCACGCCACGCAAGCCAAUGCGUGAUCGAAUAACAAAAUUAAUUAACUUAUCAUAAUUGCACCUCGCAAGCGAAUCCGAAAUCAUGACAAUCAAUUAUUUGUAUUACUUUUGAGAAAUUACUACAUUUGAGAAAAUUAAUUCUUGAAGCAUGAUUUUAGAAAUUAUUAUGGAAAGGAUAUAAAUUAAUCACUAAAAUUGAUUAUGCGAUCCAAGCACAUUUCAAAGUCAUUAAAGAAUAGUUUCUAAUUUGAGGCAUGGCAAACAAAUUUUGGAGUAACACUAUUAUUCAAGUAUUUGUUAUUAAAAAAAGAAAAGAAGGGUGGAUUUGCCUGUUCUAAGCAAACUUGGCAUGUUAAAUGAGAAUGAAAGCAAUCUAACAAAAAGCAGUAGAAGUAUCUUUAUUCUCAAAUAUCAUCUCAGUCAUACCCAAACAACAUUUCAUAUUUGUUUAGCAAUAAAGCUAAUAGAAAUCUUAAUCCAUUAACGAACAAGGUUCCGUUUUCUCUUAAUAAACCAUCAGCUAAAUAUACCAAAUGAUGUCACGUUGAUACUCAAUGAAUCCAAGAGAUUAAUCCCAAACAAAUCUAUUGCUUGAUAUAGAAAACAAACUAACUAAUGACCUAAAUUAUCAAAUAAAACCAAACACUCAAAAAUAUUUUAUUCAAACUCAAAGCCACUUAACAAAAAUAUCAUAGCCGUGUUUUAAAGAGGAAGAUUAGUAGAAUGUAAAAUAACCUUUUAGCAAGGAGGAUUUGACUCUAUUUGUUCAAAACUGAAAGACGAUCAAGACCGUGACUCUAGAGCCUCGAAUUCAUAGCUUGCCGGAGUUCGAUGAAUCUCAUACGUACUCGACUAGGCUUGAAUGUUUUUAAUGGCUGAGAUUAGGACUGAUAUGUGCUACUUGUCACUGAUUUUUAUGGAAUUUUCAGUGGAUUCAAAGUAAAUUUGUAGUGAUAUGUAUUGAAGAUGAAGUUGGAUUUAAGGAAUGGCUGAAAGUUUAUGGGUUUUCUCCUAGAAAGACGGGAACUUGAAUUGAGGAAGAAGGCUACCCGUUUUUGCCUUCCCUUUUUCUCAUUUGUGUUAUGUGUGUGUUUUUAUCUGAGAAAAUCAGGGAAAGUCAAUGAGCGCCCCUGGGAAAUAAAGUUUCCCGAUUUUUAAAGGGGGGAGGGUCCGGUUUUCUUAGGGAAUUGGGGAGAUGUGGAGAGGUUGUGAGUGGGGGACAAAGUGAGUGUGUGGUGUGAGGAAGAUGGGGAAAAGGGAUAAAAAUGAGUGUG